rnacentral:rRNA from 1 species
UACGGGGGGAGCAAGCGUUGUUCGGAUUUACUGGGCGUAAAGGGCUCGUAGGCGGCCAACUAAGUCAGACGUGAAAUCCCUCGGCUUAACCGGGGGAACUGCGUCUGAUACUGGUUGGCUUGAAUCCGGGAGAGGGAUGUGGAAUUCCAGGUGUAGCGGUGAAAUGCGUAGAUAUCUGGAGGAACACCGGUGGCGAAGGCGGCAUCCUGGACCGGUAUUGGACGCUGAGGAGCGAAAGCCAGGGGAGCAAACGGG